rnacentral:lncRNA from 1 species
CAAGGUUCCCCAUGUCAUGUUUAAGUACAAAUCACUUGUUUAUUGUGACAUGGACCACUGAUAUCUGAAAUAUAUGAAAAGACCCAUCAGGGCCCAGGAAAAAUAUGCCCUCCUAAAAGUAAAAGAAUGUCCCUGCUAUUUAAAAGAAGAUUGGCACUAAUAAGAGGCUAAGGAGAAGCAAAAUAAGCAAAGUAAAUGUCUAAAAAAUAAGAGCAGAGCAUCUUCGACAUUACCUAGAUACAUUCAGAAAAUCAAAAGCACCUGAACUAACAACUAAAACAGUGCCCUGAAAUAGAAUCCCAGACAUGAAGCUAUAAGCAUAAAUAACAACCAAGGCAAAAUCAAAAGAAAUAAAAAUAUGUGCAUCACAAAAUACUAUUAGGAGAUCAGGUCUACUGUACAAAUAUGAGGCAGCUGCCAUACGAUCUCUAGAUGCGAAAGAGUUGCAUUCAUAACUAUAUAUACAUUAGCAAGAUAAAUCACUCUACCGAUUUGUAAGCGGCAAACCAGCUCAAAUGUAGUCAUCAUCAGUAACUCUUGCUUCGAUAAUAACAGCCAACCACCAUGUAUAUCCAUCCAUGAUACAUAAAGGGGGAGAAGUAAAUUACGUUGAAUGAGAAUUAAUUAAUUGCCACGCGGCUGCAGCUGCCAAACAUGCCACGGUUAAAUACAUGGAUUUUGUCAGGGAUCUGGGUACAUGAAAAUAGACAAAGUAACACAUCAAUUAGAAGGAGCCAAAACAAGCAGAGGUGGUCAGUGAGAAUACCCGCAGGCGCCCCAACAGGCUAUAGACACCAUGUCACCAUGUUGUGCAUAAAUAGUUAGACACCGUGACAUGGUGCCUAACAUGAGCCGAGACAGGCCGGCGAAA